UACGUAGGGGGCAAGCGUUGUCCGGAAUCAUUGGGCGUAAAGAGCGUGUAGGCGGUUCGGUAAGUCGGCUGUGAAAGUCCAGGGCUCAACCCUGGGAUGCCGGUCGAUACUGCCGGACUAGAGUUCGGAAGAGGCGAGUGGAAUUCCCGGUGUAGCGGUGAAAUGCGCAGAUAUCGGGAGGAACACCUAUGGGCGAAGGCAGCUCGCUGGGACGUUACUGACGCUGGAGACGGCGAAAGCGUGGGGAGCGAACAGG
rnacentral:rRNA from 1 species